UGAUCAAAUAAUUCAUGUCCAGCAAACUUACAGUGAAAACAAUAACAUGGAAGUUAAACAAUGGUGUAUGAAAACUGAAAGUGAAAAGAAUAGCGUCUGAAAAAUGAAAGCUAAAACAAGAGAUAUAGCUAGAGAGA